AUGACUUGUGGUAAUAGAUCUUUUGGCUCUCGCAUCAAUGAAGAACAUAGCAAAAUGCGAUACUUAGUGUGAAUUGCAGAAUCAUGUGAACCAUCAAGUCUUUGAACAUAAGUUGCACCCUAAGCCAUUAGGCCAAGGGCACACCUACCUUGGUGUCAUGCCUCAUCACCCCCUCCAACUUUUUACCCAUUGGGCUUCGGGUGACAAGGGGUAGAAGAUGGCCUCCCACGAUUUUAUCAUUCUUAGUUGUUCCAAAAGUGAGUCCCCGACAAUGAUAGCAUCGUGAGCGUUGGUGGUGAAGCUCCUAGCAUGCCUCAUCUCUAGUGAUGCAAGCUCAUUGUCCAUUUGGACCUCAUUGGACCUUCAAAAUUGCUCGAUUGAUGCUCGCAUUGCAAUCUCAAGUUAGGUAGGACUACUCCCUGAGUUUAAGCAUAUCAAUAAGUAGGGGAAAAAAAACUUACCAGGAUUCCCUUAGUAAAGGUGAGUGAAUCGAGAAGAGCCUAGCUUGAAGAUCGUGCACCCCUUACAUUUGAAUUGUAGUCUAGUGAAGCAUCCUCGGCAACGAAUCGGGCCUAAGUCCCUUGGAAAAGGACAUCAAAGAGGGUGAGAGUCCCAUUAUGCUUGGGCCUUAUCGCAUUAUGAGGCAUUAUUUAUAAGUUAGGUUGUUUAGGAAUGUAGCUUUAAUCAGGCAGUAAAUUUCACCCAAGGUUGAAUACGGGUAAGAGACAUCAUGAUAGAAAACAAGUACUGUGAGGGAAAGAUGAAAAGGAUUUUGAAAAAAGAGUUAAAAAGUGCUUGAAAUUAUCAAAAGGGAAGCAGAUUGGGAUCGAUGAUGUGCUCUAGUCGAUAUGGAACGAUGAGAGCCGAUCCAUCGAUCGGCUCGGUGUGUGGACCAAUGCGAAUUGUGAAGAUAGCCUAAGCCUAGGCUUUCGAUAUGCCUACAGAGAUGUCACCACGAUCAUGGAAUGUAGCACGUGCUGUCUCAGCAUGACCCAAAACUGGCAUGCUGCUGGCAUUAACUUACAAGUUCUUUAUCUAGCCCAUCUUGAAACAUGGACCAAGGACUCUGACAUGUGUACGAAUCAAUAGGCUAAAAAACCCAUAAGGCAUAAGAAAGCUGAUUGGCGGGAUCCCUUAUGAGUGUAUCGUUGAAUGACCUUGAUCUUUUAAGAAGGGUUUGAAUGUGAGCAUCCCUAUCGAGACCCGAAAGAUGGUGAACUAUGCCUAAGCGAGGCAAAUCCAGAGGAAACUUUGGUGUGGGCCUGCAGUGAUCCUGAGUGCAAAUCAUUUGUUAGACUUGGGUAUAGGGGCGAAAGACUAAUCAAACUAUCUAGUAGCUAGUUCCCUCUAAAGUUUCCCUCAAGAUAGCUAAAGCCCUUAGCAAGUUCUAUAAGGAAAAGCCAAUGAUUAGAGGCAUUGGGGCUGUAAUGCCCUUGACCUUUUCUCAAACUUUAAAUAGGUAGGAUGGCUUGGUUGCUUCGUUGAGCCGCACCAUGGAAUCAAGAGCUCCAAGUGGGCCAUUUAUGGUAAGCAGAACUAGCGAUGUGGGAUGAACUAGAAGCUAGGUUAUGGUGCCCAACUAUGCACUAACCUAGAACCCACAAAGGGUGUUAGUCGAUAAGAUAGCAUGAUGGUUGUCAUGGAAGUUGAAAUCUGCUAAGGAGUGUCUAAUAACUCACUUGUCGAAUCAACUAGCCCUGAAAAUGGAUGGUGCUUAAGCACAUGACUUUUACCCAAUUAUUGAGGCAAAGGCUAGACCCUGAUGAGUAAGAGGGCAUGACAAUCAUCUCAAAACCUGAGGCAUCGGCCCAAAUAAAGCAAUUGUCAGUGCAGAUCUUGGUGGUAGUAGCAAAUAUUCAAAUGAAAAAUUUGAAGGUCGAAGAGGGGAAAGGUUUCAUGUGAAUGGCACUUACACAUGGGUUAGUCGAUCUUAAGAGAUGGGGGAAGCCUGUCCAACAAAAUGUUUAGCAUGAGUUUUGAAAGGGAAUCAGGUUAAAAUUCUUGAAUCAAGAUAUGGCGGCUAACAGCAAUCUUAUGGAGUUCGAAGACGUUGGCAGAUGCCUCAGGAAGGAAUAUCUUUUCUAUUUAACGACUUCUCCACCCUGGAAUUGGCUCAGUUAGAGGUAGCAUUCAGCUGUUAGAAGAGCAUCGCAUGUUGCAUAGUGUCCUAUGCACCCUUUACCGCCUUUGAAAAUCCAAAGGACCAAGUUUUAUCCAUGCCUGAUCGAACUUAUAAUUGCAUCAAGUCUCUAAGGUGAAUAGCCUCUAGUCGAUGGAACAAUGUAGGCAAGGAAAGUUAGUAAAAUGGUUUUGUAACCUUGAGAGAAGGAUUGGCUCUGAGGGCUAGGCAUAGGGGUCAUAGACCCGAACCCAUUGGUUGCUGGUGUACUACUCAAGCUAUUUCUUUGAUGAGAGCAGGUCAUUAUGUGUUGGCUGGGGGACGGACUGGGAAUGGCUCCAUGGGGGCCUUCCUUAGGUGAUGAACAGUCAAUUUAGAACUGGUAUGGAUAAGGGGAAGUUGACUAUUUAAUUAAAACAAAGCAUUGUGAUGGUCCCUAAGGAUACUCAUGCAAUGUGUUUUCUGCCUAGUGCUCUGAAUGUCAAAGUAAAUAAAUUCAACCAAGCACGGGUAAAUGGUGGGAGUAAUUAUGACCUUCUUAAGGUAGCCAAAUGCCUCAUCAUCUAAUUAGUGACACGCAUGAAUGGAUUAAUGAGAUUCGCACUAUCCCUAUCUACUAUCCUAUAAAACCACAGCCAAGGGAAUAGGCUUGGUGAAAUAAACGAGGAAAGAAGACUUUGUUGAGCUUGACUCUAGUUCAACUUUGUGAAAUGACUUGAAAGGUGUAGAAUAGGUGAGAGCCCUUAGACGAAAUUGAAAUGCCAUUACUUUUAACGUUAUUUUACUUAUUUUAUGUAUCAGAGACAAGGCACAACCCUUUCUUUUAGACCUAAGGCUAGCCUCGAUCGAUUGAUCCAGGCAGAAGACAUUGUUAGGAGGGGAGUUUGACUGAGGCAACACAUCUGUUAAAAGAUAAUACAGGUUUGCUAAGAUGAGCUCAACAAGAAUAGAAUCUCAUUUGAAAAAAAGGGUAAAAGCUCAUUUGAUUCAGAUUUCUAGUAUGAAUAUGAACUAUGAAAGUAUGGCCUACUGAUCCUUUAGACUUUCAAAAUUUGAAGCUAGAGGUAUCAAAAAAGCUACCACAGGGAUAACUGGUUUAUGACAACCAAGCAUUCAUAAUGAUGUUGCUUUUUGGUUCUUCGAUGUCAGCUUUUUCUAUCAUUGUGAAGCUAAAUUCACCAAAUGUUCGCCAAGUGUUGGAUUGUUCACCCUCCAAUAGGGAAUGUGAACUAGGUUUAGAUUAUCGUGAGAUAGGUUAGUUUUACCCUACUGAUGGCAGUGUCGCAAUAUUAAUUCAACCUAGUACUAGAAGAACUACUGAUUUGCACAAUUGGUCAUUGUGCUUGGUUAAAAAGCCAUUGGUGCAAAGCUACCUUGCCCUAGAUUAUGAUUGAACACCUUUAAGUCAAAAUCUGAGCUAAAAGUGACACAUGCGCCCAUCACUUGAUUGCCUACUUACAAUAAAGGCUCAUGGCCCCUAAAGGUACAUGUCAUAGGUGUAGCCCCAGCGACAAACAAGCCACGUGGGCCUCUUUG
rnacentral:rRNA from 1 species